AGCACGUUGCGCACCUGGCGGUCCAUGCGCGGAUAAGCCUCUUCCAAGUCAAACUCGCCCAUGAGCCUGUCGCCCACACGGUAGAGAUUGAUGGUCGCCGCCAAGGGGUCGACCUGAAUGUCCGAGAGGAUGUCGAGGACGACAUCGAGGCUUUCGCCCUGGCGCACCGCCAAAGCAGCCUCGGCAAUCUUUUGUCGGUUGGCCGGUAGGGACGCAAUAGUGAGGCGCGUGUCAGCGAGGGAAAUGGAUCCGACCGACAGGACCAAGUGGUCCGACAAAGCGGCCGGCUCGGCUCGGCUUGGGUUGCCGAGACUGUCUGACAGCGGCGCGGCCUCCGUGGCACUGGCGAGCGCCUCGGCUGCCUGGGCGGCCUCUGGUGCGCCCUGGUGGACAGACGCGCCGAGGGUCGACAGGGCGUUGGUGAGGGCUUUCAUAGCAGAACCCAGUUUGUCUGUCGCGAUCACAGUGUUGGCGUCGCCGUCGUGGUGGCACGUAGUCAUGAUCCUUUUUGCGCUGAAUCCUUGUCCUCAAGAGGGAAUCAAAAGUCAAAAGCCAAAACAAAAAAGAG
rnacentral:lncRNA from 1 species